rnacentral:rRNA from 1 species
CAGCAGCCGCGGUAAUACGAGGGGGGCAAGCGUUGUUCGGAAUUAUUGGGCGUAAAGGGCGCGUAGGCGGUCUGACAAGUCUUAUGUGAAAUCUCUGGGCUCAACCCAGAGUCUGCACGGGAAACUGUCGGGCUUGAGUAUGGGAGAGGUGAGUGGAAUUCCACGUGUAGCGGUGAAAUGCGUAGAGAUGUGGAGGAACACCAGUGGCGAAGGCGACUCUCUGGUCUGUAACUGACGCUGAGGAGCGAAAGCGUGGGGAGCGAACAGGAUUAGAUACCCGCGUAGUCCCUGUCUCUUAUAC